GUGUUUUUCUGAAUCGUGAGUAAUAUUCUACUGUAUAUACACAUACAUACGUGCAUACAUAAUGCAAAUAGGAAGAGCCAAGGACUAAGUCAGGUGGAUUGAAUUGGUUUCGUAAUGUGUUGUCAAAGCCUGGACGCAAACACGUGUACAAUACAUCCACGGAGAAGUUGAAAAGCAAAUACUGAAAGCGAGAUUGUGCCGUUCUAGGAUUAGAAAAUGCACUUUUAACGCGUCGAGAAACGAGGAUUACCGUACACCGUAUAUCCGUUGCAACCCUGUGGUCAAUAUUUAUUAUACUAAUUAUUAUACUAUAAUUAUGUUAAAGAAAAAUAUCCUUACCUACGACCGUUACGUAAAUUAUUUCCAAGUAUUUCACUGACGACAAUUUAAUUUCCCUCAAUUAUGCAAUCACCGUUUCAGAAUAUUAACUACACAUUCAUCGUGUAGUAGUCACAAGGUAGACACUGAGGAGUCAUUUAUACACAUUAUAUGUACAUUCUUAACAUAACCUGCAACAACGGAGUGUAUACCUGUAAUUAUUAUUGACUCAACAUCAUGGAGACCUAUUUUUGAUUCUCUUCACUUUGGUUUGUCAUCUCAAUUUGUUUUUUUUCGGAAUACCAUGCUUAUGGAUCAUGUUUCGAGGUGGAUGCAGAGCGAAAAUUUUGGGACACCGGAACAAAGUAGUGAGCGAGAAAGCCUGUCGAGCAAAAAUCGCAUUCAAAUAAUAUCGCGGGUCACCGAUCGAACUAUAAAUAUCGAUUAUGAUUUGUUGCUAUGUAGUGCAAAAGCGGCGAUCAACGUCCGACGAGACUAAGGUGCCUGGCAUUAGCAGCAAGUAUCCGGAUGCCACGUGCAACGUGCGUUGACAGAGAACUUUGAACAGGCAAUACAUUAUGUAUGCGGACUCGCAGGCUUCAUCAGUGACAUAUGACGGCUAGGAAUGUCGCCAUAUAUACAGGAAACAUUUACGUUGGUUAUACGCAGAAUUGAACGGAGGUGGAUGCAUGAUGGUGAAAGAUUGUUACUGCCUGGGACUUGUACAAGUGAGCAGAUGAAAGCCUGCAGGGAUGUCGGACAGCGGUGAGGGCGACAUACCUGUCAUGUGUUAUACGCAUUAUAUGUAUGCAUGCAUGGAUAUUAUACGACGUGAGUCUACGCGGAACAAGGGACACUCGAUCCUUGGUUCUCGGAAGGGGACUCCAGUUACGAAAUAUCUUAUACAUGCCUGACAAUGUCGUUUAGAAAGAGCAAAAUGAUUUUUGGAGGUGAGACGAACCUUCUCGAUGCAGGAUUUAAGGGGGCUGCCCAAGGUCCCCGUAACUCAAACGCAAAAACGGGCAUAACGGUCCCAUUCUAAAUACAAUUUUGUACAAAAAUACUCCAAUGUAUUUUUAUUUGAUGGAGAAAUAAAGUAAUGCCAUGAAUUCUACGAAUUUACUAUUGCGAUUUCAAUAUCGUGCUUGAUAAAAUUAAGCAAGUAAUCGGUAACUGGCAACCGAAAGCAAUAGCUGAA